rnacentral:rRNA from 1 species
CUGCAUGGCUGUCGUCAGCUCGUGUCGUGAGAUGUUGGUUAAGUCCGCAACGAGCGCAACCCUUGUCAUUAGUUGCUACGAAAGGGCACUCUAAUGAGACUGCCGGUGACAAACCGGAGGAAGGUGGGGGAUGACGUCAAGUCCUCAUGGCCCUUAUGGGUAGGGCUUCACACGUCAUACAAUGGUCGGGACAGAGGGUUGCCAACCCGCGAGGGGGAGCUAAUCUCAUAAACCCGAUCGUAGUCCGGAUUGCAGUCUGCAACUCGACUGCAUGAAGUCGGAAUCGCUAGUAAUCGCGGAUCAGCAUGUCGCGGUGAAUACGUUCCCGGGUCUU